rnacentral:lncRNA from 1 species
UUCUUUUUUCUGUCGACAACGUUCGACUCCUCUCUUGCGUUAUUGGACAGAGAGGAGCCUCCUUCUCUCUGCUUAGAUUGUAGGUUAACCCUCUCCUCAUCGAGUGGGGUUGUAUUUUUGUUUCUUUUGAUUUUGCUUUUCCUCUUGGCUUUACACAAAUCGGUGCUUACAGAUUGAGGGUUCCCUUGCAUGAAGGAUCUAGGAGCUUGCUUACUCAGAUUGUGUAUUUCUUCUUGUGGGGUUUUAUGGAUCCUAUGUAGUUAUGUUUUUAUUCUGUUUGAUUUUCGUUGUUUCUUUGUUCUGGAUUUAUGCUGUUGACAAGUUUGGAGGUUCUGUUAUCAUUGGUGAG